UACGAAGGGGGCUAGCGUUGCUCGGAAUCACUGGGCGUAAAGCGCACGUAGGCGGCUUCUCAAGUCAGGGGUGAAAUCCUGGAGCUCAACUCCAGAACUGCCUUUGAUACUGAGGGGCUCGAGUCCGGGAGAGGUGAGUGGAACUGCGAGUGUAGAGGUGAAAUUCGUAGAUAUUCGCAAGAACACCAGUGGCGAAGGCGGCUCACUGGCCCGGUACUGACGCUGAGGUGCGAAAGCGUGGGGAGCGAACAGG
rnacentral:rRNA from 1 species